GUGCUCACCUGGGCAGCACAUAUCUAAAAUUGGAACCACACAGAGAUGAUUAGCAUGGCCCCUGCUCAAGGAUGACAUGCAAAUUUGUGAAGCAUUCCAUAUUUUU